rnacentral:rRNA from 1 species
AUUGAACGCUGGCGGCAUGCCUUACACGUGCAAGUCGAACGGUAACAGGUCUUCGGAUGCUGCCGAGUGGCGAACGGGUGAGUAAUACAUCGGAACGUGCCCGAUCGUGGGGGAUAACGCAGCGAAAGCUGUGCUAAUACCGCAUACGAUCUACGGAUGAAAGCGGGGGAUCGCAAGACCUCGCGCGGACGGAGCGGCCGAUGGCAGAUUAGGUAGUUGGUGGGAUAAAAGCUUACCAAGCCGACGAUCUGUAGCUGGUCUGAGAGGACGACCAGCCACACUGGGACUGAGACACGGCCCAGACUCCUACGGGAGGCAGCAGUGGGGAAUAUUGGACAAUGGGCGCAAGCCUGAUCCAGCCAUGCCGCGUGCAGGAUGAAGGCCUUCGGGUUGUAAACUGCUUUUGUACGGAACGAAAAAGCUCUCUCUAAUACAGGGGGUGAAUGACGGUACCGUAAGAAUAAGCACCGGCUAACUACGUG